GACGAACGCUGGCGGCGUGCUUAACACAUGCCAGUCGAACGGAAAGGCCCUGCUUUUGUGGGGUGCUCGAGUGGCGAACGGGUGAGUAACACGUGAGUAACCUGCCCUUGACUUUGGGAUAACUUCAGGAAACUGGGGCUAAUACCGGAUAGUAGUUCCUGCUGCAUGGUGGGGGUUGGAAAGUUUAGGCGGUUGGGGAUGGACUCGCGGCUUAUCAGCUUGUUGGUGGGGUAGUGACUUACCAAGGCUUUGACGGGUAGCCGGCCUGAGAGGGUGACCGGCCACAGUGGGACUGAGAUACGGCCCAGACUCCGACGGGAGGGAGAAGUGGGGAAUAGUGCAGUAUGGGCGGAAGCCUGAUGCAGAAACGCCGCGUGCGGGAUGACGGCCUUCGGGUUGUAAACCGCUUUCGCCUGUGACGAAGAGUGAGUGACGGUAAUGGGUAAAGAAGCACCGGCUAACUACGUG
rnacentral:rRNA from 1 species